UGGGGCUUCUGCGCUGACAUGAACACAUGCUGCAGCCCCCAUCGAGAAACCACAUCGCAAGCAGUGUAAGAAAGAAUGCAGAGGAAACAGCCUUAACAAGAAAUACCCUUCUGAUGAGCUGCUUGGAACUGCUGAAAUUUUACCAGCCACCCAUUGCACUUCUGCUUGUUCUGGUGAAUUUAAUCAGCUGAAAUUAAACCUGCAUGGUACUGGGACCACAGCCCUUUGCAUUUCUGCUUUCUACAGACCCGUAUCCACCAGUUGUGCCUUCUCACGUAAGCUAAUUAAACAGUUUUCUUUCUGUGCAGGGUGUAAAAACAGCUCACUACCAAUAUUUAGUUUCACUUAGGAAUAUCAGGACAGGUAGCUGUUCAUCCCUUCUGAAGCCCAAGGCAGAAGCAGCACCAGACCCCCGCAGACGGCUCUGUCCACAUGCACCAGACCCACACUGCUUUCUCCUCUUUCCUGCCGAGAAGGUGAUGCAGAAGCAGUGCCAGUCAACUCCCGUCUGGAUAGGAAUCUUGCCGAGUGCUGGAUCACAAGACUCAAUGUGUUUUUCUAAGCCUAAUUUAAAACCCUAAUUGUUUUUCUCCUCCUACACGCACAAGUACAAGAUUUUGUUCCUCCUCCUGGCAGGACAUGAUGAAUCACUCUGUU
rnacentral:lncRNA from 1 species